UGGGGAAUAUUGGACAAUGGGCGAAAGCCUGAUCCAGCCAUGCCGCGUGUGUGAAGAAGGUCUUCGGAUUGUAAAGCACUUUAAGUUGGGAGGAAGGGUUGUAGAUUAAUACUCUGCAAUUUUGACGUUACCGACAGAAUAAGCACCGGCUAACUCUGUGCCAGCAGCCGCGGUAAUACAGAGGGUGCAAGCGUUAAUCGGAAUUACUGGGCGUAAAGCGCGCGUAGGUGGUUAGUUAAGUUGGAUGUGAAAUCCCCGGGCUCAACCUGGGAACUGCAUUCAAAACUGACUGACUAGAGUAUGGUAGAGGGUGGUGGAAUUUCCUGUGUAGCGGUGAAAUGCGUAGAUAUAGGAAGGAACACCAGUGGCGAAGGCGACCACCUGGACUGAUACUGACACUGAGGUGCGAAAGCGUGGGGAGCAAACAGGAUUAGAUACCCUAGUAGUCCCUGAGCGGGCUGGCAAGGCGCAU
rnacentral:rRNA from 1 species